GUUUUUUUCCUGUUUGCUUUGGUUACUGUUGUUGUUUUUGGUGUUGUUUCUAGAAUUCUCGUUUUCCUUUAGUUUCUCCUUCAAAUUUUCCGUUUUCUCUAUCAAUUUAGCUUUUUCUUCAUUUUUUUGGCUUGUUUCUAGAAUUCUCUUUUUCCUUCAAAUUUUCCGUUUUCUCUAACAAUUUAGCUUUUCCUUCACUUUUUUUGGCUUUUCUUCAUGUUUUCCACCAUUUAGAAUUCACUUUUUUCUCUCUUUUUCAACUCUUCACAUUUUUCGACCUUGUUCCCUUCCUUGUUUCAGUUUGGCUUCACUGUUUCAAUUUUCCGAUACAGCUUCGAAGCUUCGUCUCGACUCGUGAAGCAGUGAACCAGUUUGUCGAGUUGUUGUUCCUCUUGUUCAUGUUGUUGUUGUUGCUGAUUUGGUAUGGUUGUAAAUUCCUUAUUAAUAAUCUUCUUAACACGUGGAUAACUCAACGCCUACUCUAUUACAAUCUAUAGAUGUGAUUCUGCUAAAUUUAGGUUUUGGUGCGAGAGAAAACACACUCACGGAUUGGAUGAACGGAACGGGGGAGGAAAGGAAGGAAGGAAGGAAGGAAAAGAAAGAGAAGGAAGAGAAGAGAGAAGGGAAAAAACGAAAGACAGGAAAAAGCAAACACGACGGAAUAACGAGAGAUAAUAUACGAAAAAACGGAAGAGGGGGAAAAGCUGAAAAGACGAAAGAAAUGAAAUAAAAACGACGCACAAAAAUGAAAGAAAUAAAACGAGUGGAUUGCUUCUCUGGUGUUUGGUUCUGUUUGGUGAGGCCUCGGUCCGUGUGCGUGUGUGUGUGUGUGUGUGUGUGUGUGUGUGUGUGUGUGUGUGUGUGUACGAGGCUCUUUGGGGUUGAAACACGUUGAGGUCUCAUCCUGUACUUUCUCUUUGGGUCACGGGGCGAAAAACGGGGCGGGGCGGGGCGCUGAAUCCCCCCCUUGGGUACACACACACACACACACACACACACACACACACACACACACACACACACACACACGGAAUAGACGGUGAAAAUACAAGUUCUUAUGCACAAAGGGAAAACAUAAGGAAACAAACACAGGAAAAACAGAAAAACAGGAAAAAAAUAGGAAGUACAAAGGAAAGACAGAAAAAGAAGGAAAGAAAAAACAUAAAAAAACAGAAUUAACAGAAAAAAACAAGGAAAAAUACAGGGAAUAAAGAGGAAAAAACAUAAAUAAAUGGAAUUAACAGAAAAAAACAAGGAAAAA